UACGAAGGGGGCUAGCGUUGCUCGGAAUCACUGGGCGUAAAGCGCACGUAGGCGGAUUGCUAAGUCAGGGGUGAAAUCCUGGAGCUCAACUCCAGAACUGCCUUUGAUACUGGCGACCUUGAGUCCGGGGAGAGGUGAGUGGAACUGCGAGUGUAGAGGUGAAAUUCGUAGAUAUUCGCAAGAACACCAGUGGCGAAGGCGGCUCACUGGCCCGGUACUGACGCUGAGGUGCGAAAGCGUGGGGAGCAAACAGG
rnacentral:rRNA from 1 species